GACGAACGCUGGCGGCGUGCUUAACACAUGCAAGUCGAACGAAGUGGCGAACGGGUGAGUAAUGCGUAAUCAACCUGCCCUUCAGAGGGGGACAACAGUUGGAAACGACUGCUAAUACCGCAUACUGAAGGAGGGGAUUGCGUCGGAUUAGCUAGGUGGAGGGGUAACGGCCCACCAAGGCGAUGAUCAGUAGCCGGUCUGAGAGGGUGGACGGCCACAAUGGGACUGGGACACGGCCCAGACUCCUACGGGAGGCAGCAGGGGGGAAUCUUCGGAAAUGGAGGGAAGUCUGACGGAGCAACGCCGGGGGAGAGGUGACGGGCUUCGGGUUGUAAAGCUCUGUUAAUCGGGACGCGGUACCGGAAGAGAAAGCCACGGCUAACUACGUGCCAGCAGCCGCGGUAAUUC
rnacentral:rRNA from 1 species